rnacentral:misc_RNA from 1 species
AAGUCGUAACAAGGUUUCCGUAGGUGAACCUGCGGAAGGAUCAUUAUCGAAUUCAGGAAAGACUGUUGCUGGCAGAAAUGCAUGUGCACGUCCUACCUUGCCCCCUUACACACCUGUGCACCUUUUGUAGGUCCUCGGAAAGAGGAUCUAUGUUUUACUAUCAUCACAUCCAAUGUAUGUCUAGAAUGUGAAUCAACUAUCGAUCUUCACGGGUCGAUAAAUGAUAAAUAAAUAUACAACUUUCAGCAACGGAUCUCUUGGCUCUC